GCUACAUUCUCCUUUUCCCGCUAUCACCACACCUACAUAAUCCUUGCCAUCGAUAGCUGCUGCCGCUACCAUUUCUAUUGCUAUUGACUGCUGUGCAUCUUGUCGACAGCUUCUUCAAGUAGUAGAACGUGUUAGGUCAUCCGUCCUUGUUCAAAAUUCAAUCAGAAUCGUUCUCUCCAGUUGCUGCAGUUGCACCAGAAUCACUGCUUGCUAGAAUCUUCUAUGAGCCAGAAUCUUCUGCAAAGUUGCGUUGCCAGAAUCCUGAACGUUGUCCCGACUCCAAAUUGCAUCGCCGGAUUUACUAUUCUACAGGUCACGAGGUUUUUGUAUUAUACAAUAGUUGUGCUAGGCUCAUUGAUGAGAAAAUUUCAUUCAUUAGCCUACAUAACACAAGUACAUAUAACAUUGAUCACCAUUUUUAAAAAAUUGCUGAUGCAUUCAAGGCCAAAGGAAAGAAGAAUAUGUUAUUUUUAGCUCCUCACAAUCCAAGGGCCAUAGCAUGUUACCAAGGUGGUGAAAGUCUCCCUCCAAAUACACAAAAGAGUGAUCAUGAUGGGCAUUAUACAUGAAACAAAAUAAGGGUUUGUAUUAUUUAUUUAAUAAAACAUGUUUGGUAUGUAUAUAAAUGAUUGUUCGAUUAAUAUUUUAUGUUUGUUAUUCUGAAUAUGUUAUUUUGGAUUGGUGUAGAAUUUUUGAAAAAUUCGAGAACGUCCAAGUUAUAGGGGCAGCUCUGUCGGAUUUUCUCCAAAUUUGAUCUGUAGAUCAUAUCUUGAUCUGAUUAGCUCUAUUUUGUUUCUAACAUGUUUGGAUAAUUACAUCUUAAUUUAUUUUUUUAUAGGUACCUACACAAAUAAAAACCUAGGAUGUGGUUAUUAUGUGUUGAAGUGUAUGAAUGAAGUAUUCGCACAAUAAGAGUUGAUCAUUCUACUAAGUGCAAAUGUUUCAAAAUUACAUUCAUGUCUUACAUAUAACAAAGAUAAUUAACUAUAUGUUGAUUUUUCUUGUAGUAUUUUGCUAGAGCAAGAUCUUCGCAUUUAACCAUGGAGCAAAUAGAAGAUGUGAUUGAGGAGUGGUCAGAAUAUAUAAUUAGUUGUUUGUGAUAAGUAACAUCUAAUG